GUUCAAAAGUGAAAGACGGUCUUGCUGUCACUUAUAGAUGGAUCCGCGCUGCAUUAGCUAGUUGGUAAGGUAACGGCUUACCAAGGCAACGAUGCAUAGCCGACCUGAGAGGGUGAUCGGCCACACUGGAACUGAGACACGGUCCAGACUCCUACGGGAGGCAGCAGUAGGGAAUCUUCCGCAAUGGGCGAAAGCCUGACGGAGCAACGCCGCGUGAGUGAUGAAGGUCUUCGGAUCGUAAAACUCUGUUAUUAGGGAAGAACAUAUGUGUAAGUAACUGUGCACAUCUUGACGGUACCUAAUCAGAAAGCCACGGCUAACUACGUGCCAGCAGCCGCGGUAAUACGUAGGUGGCAAGCGUUAUCCGGAAUUAUUGGGCGUAAAGCGCGCGUAGGCGGUUUUUUAAGUCUGAUGUGAAAGCCCACGGCUCAACCGUGGAGGGUCAUUGGAAACUGGAAAACUUGAGUGCAGAAGAGGAAAGUGGAAUUCCAUGUGUAGCGGUGAAAUGCGCAGAGAUAUGGAGGAACACCAGUGGCGAAGGCGACUUUCUGGUCUGUAACUGACGCUGAUGUGCGAAAGCGUGGGGAUCAAACAGGAUUAGAUACCCUGGUAGUCCACGCCGUAAACGAUGAG
rnacentral:rRNA from 1 species